UACGGAGGGUGCAAGCGUUAUCCGGAUUCACUGGGUUUAAAGGGAGCGUAGGUGGGUCGAUAAGUCAGCGGUGAAAUCCCCAAGCUUAACUUGGGAACUGCCAUUGAUACUAUCGAUCUUGAAUACUGUGGAGGUAAGCGGAAUAUGUCAUGUAGCGGUGAAAUGCUUAGAUAUGACAUAGAACACCGAUAGCGAAGGCAGCUUACUACGCAGUUAUUGACACUGAGGCUCGAAAGCGUGGGGAUCAAACAGG
rnacentral:rRNA from 1 species